UCAUAUUUAAAAAAAAAAAAAAAAACUACAUUCACUAAACCUGGGAAAGAAAAUUAAACCUCAAACCCGUACCCGUGCCCUCACAAAGCCGAGUGGCUAUUUAUUACUCGCUUGCUGACCGAUGAACAAUGAAUUUCAUAAUUUGUAGUUACAGACCGCAACAACUAUUGAUGGCCACAAAUCGAAAAGUAGGAGGUGACACAAGAGAGUCAUUAUCAUGGUAAAUUGUGAGAAGAUCAACGAUACGGCGCAAUAUCCGGAGAUUUAUAAUCGGGGACAGAAGAGACUUCUUUCUUCCGACAUAGAGCCAGAGCCGUGGCAUGCAUCAGAUAUUGUAAGUUUUAUCGAUCCUAUGAAAUUGCAUUUGGUUCUGAGAUAAUCAGCCCUCUCAAUCCUUUGGUUACCUCAAAAUCAAAUCAACGGUUGGGUUCCUACUUCCCACGCUGUUUUUAUAAUAAUUUACCAUAAGCUAAACAGUCAGUCAAUGGGGAUUGUGGCUAGUGUUACAAGUUUCUACCUUUUUUUAA
rnacentral:lncRNA from 1 species